rnacentral:rRNA from 1 species
AGAGUUUGAUCAUGGCUCAGAGCGAACGCUGGCGGCAGGCUUAACACAUGCAAGUCGAGCGGUCGUAGCAAUACGGCAGCGGCAGACGGGAGAGUAACACGUGGGAGCGUACCCUUCAGUUCGGAACAACCAAGGGAAACUUUGGCUAAUACCGGAUACGUCCGUAAGGAGAAAGAUUUAUCGCUGAGGGAUCGGCCCGCGUCUGAUUAGCUAGUUGGUGAGGUAACGGCUCACCAAGGCGACGAUCAGUAGCUGGUCUGAGAGGAUGAUCAGCCUCACUGGGACUGAGACACGGCCCAGACUCCUACGGGAGGCAGCAGUGGGGAAUAUUGGACAAUGGGCGCAAGCCUGAUCCAGCCAUGCCGCGUGGAUGAUGAAGGCCCUAGGGUUGUAAAGUCCUUUCGGCGGGGAAGAUAAUGACGGUACCCGCAGAAGAAGCCCCGGCUAACUUCGUGCCAGCAGCCGCGGUAAUACGAAGGGGGCUAGCGUUGCUCGGAAUCACUGGGCGUAAAGCGCACGUAGGCGGCUUUUUAAGUCAGGGGUGAAAUCCUGGAGCUCAACUCCAGAACUGCCUUUGAUACUGAAGAGCUUGAGUCCGGGAGAGGUGAGUGGAACUGCGAGUGUAGAGGUGAAAUUCGUAGAUAUUCGCAAGAACACCAGUGGCGAAGGCGGCUCACUGGCCCGGUACUGACGCUGAGGUGCGAAAGCGUGGGGAGCAAACAGGAUUAGAUACCCUAGUAGUCC